AUUGAACGCUGGCGGCAUGCCUUACACAUGCAAGUCGAACGGCAGCAUGGGUGCUUGCACCUGAUGGCGAGUGGCGAACGGGUGAGUAAUGCAUCGGAACGUACCCGGAAGUGGGGGAUAACGUAGCGAAAGUUACGCUAAUACCGCAUAUUCUGUGAGCAGGAAAGAGGGGGAUCGCAAGACCUCUCGCUUUCGGAGCGGCCGAUGUCGGAUUAGCUAGUUGGCGGGGUAAAGGCCCACCAAGGCAACGAUCCGUAGCGGGUCUGAGAGGAUGAUCCGCCACACCGGGACUGAGACACGGCCCAGACUCCUACGGGAGGCAGCAGUGGGGAAUUUUGGACAAUGGGCGCAAGCCUGAUCCAGCCAUGCCGCGUGAGUGAAGAAGGCCUUCGGGUUGUAAAGCUCUUUCGGCCGGGAAGAAAUCGCACAGGUUAAUACCCUGUGUGGAUGACGGUACCGGAAUAAGAAGCACCGGCUAACUACGUGCCAGCCGCCGCUGUAACAC
rnacentral:rRNA from 1 species